GACGAACGCUGGCGGCGUGCUUAACACAUGCAAGUCGAACGGAAAGGCUCUUCGGGGUACUCGAGUGGCGAACGGGUGAGUAACACGUGGGUGAUCUGCCCUGCACUUUGGGAUAAGCCUGGGAAACUGGGUCUAAUACCGAAUAGGAUCAUGCUCUUCAUGGGGUGUGGUGGAAAGCUUUUGCGGUGUGGGAUGGGCCCGCGGCCUAUCAGCUUGUUGGUGGGGUAAUGGCCUACCAAGGCGACGACGGGUAGCCGGCCUGAGAGGGUGACCGGCCACACUGGGACUGAGAUACGGCCCAGACUCCUACGGGAGGCAGCAGUGGGGAAUAUUGCACAAUGGGCGCAAGCCUGAUGCAGCGACGCCGCGUGAGGGAUGACGGCCUUCGGGUUGUAAACCUCUUUCAAUAGGGACGAAGCGCAAGUGACGGUACCUAUAGAAGAAGGACCGGCCAACUACGUGCCAGCAGCCGCAGUAAUAC
rnacentral:rRNA from 1 species